CAUACCACUCUGAACACACAAAUCUCAUCUGAUGUCAGAUGCUAAGCAUGGUCGGGUCUGGUUUGUACUUGGAGGGGAGGAAGCCAUGCC
rnacentral:rRNA from 1 species